UAUUGUGCGAAGGUAGCAUAAUCAUUAGUCUUUUAAUUGAAGACUUGUAUGAAUGGUUGGACAAAAAGUAAUCUGUCUCAGUUAUAAUAGUUGAACUUAACUUUUAAGUGAAAAGGCUUAAAUACUUUAAGGGGACGAUAAGACCCUAUAAAACUUAACAAUAAUUUGAUUAAAUUAUAAAUUGUUAGUAUAACUUGAUUUUAAUUAAUGUUUGUUGCGUUGGGGCGACGGGAAUAUAAUUAGUAACUGUUCUUAAAUAUUUUAUUAACAAGUAUAAUUGAAGAAUAAUUGAUCCUUUAUUAAAGAUUAAAAGAUUAAGUUACUUUAGGGAUAACAGCGUAAUCUUCUUUGAGAGUCCUCAUCGACAAGAAGGUUUGCGACCUCGAUGUUGAAUUAAGGA
rnacentral:rRNA from 1 species